rnacentral:rRNA from 1 species
UACGUAGGGGGGCAAGCGUUGUCCGGAAUUAUUGGGCGUAAAGAGCGUGUAGGCGGUCCGGUAAGUCAGCUGUGAAAGUCAAGGGCUCAACCCUUGAAAGCCGGUUGAUACUGUCGGGCUAGAGUCCGGAAGAGGCGAGUGGAAUUCCCGGUGUAGCGGUGAAAAUGCGCAGAUAUCGGGAGGAACACCAAUGGCGAAGGCAGCUCGCUGGGACGGUACUGACGCUGAGACGCGAAAGCGUGGGAGCAAACAGGG